GUGAGUGGAAGGGGUGGUUGUUCUGGUGCCCACAAAGCUACUUACUGCUGGUGUACUCUGCUUUCCCUGGGAGGCGGAUAACCCUCCGGGCACCCGGCUAGUGCAGAGGAGGAAGAGCGCAGACUCUUCCUUUGGUUUCAGAAAACACCUCCAGAUUCUCCUUUCAGUGCCUCUGCUGGCUACAGCCAGCCCAGAGCUGGCAAGGGCUGAAAGGUAGGGUCCACCUAGUGCCCAUCCCAUGUGGGCUAGGCUCACUUUCAGGUAAUUUUUUAAAAAAUGUAUUUUUAUUGAUUUCAGAGAAGGGAAGGAUAGAAUCAGUGAUGACAGAAUCAUUGACUGGCUGCCUCCUGCACGCCCCCCACUGGGAAACGAGCCCACAAGCGCGGCAUGUGCCCUGACUGGGAAUCGAACCAUGACCACCUGGUUCAUAGGUCCACGCUCAAGCACUGAGCCCGCCAGCCGGGCGCUUUCAGGUUCCCCGACGCUGCUAUGGGAGAUACCCGCCCCCACGUGCGUGUACACACACACACAGCGCGACAAUGACCAGAGUCCAUUUACAUCUGCCACUUCAUUUAUUUAUUUUUAUUUGUAGGAGGAGUUGAAACAAAUCUUUAAGGGGGGUUUCCCCUUAAACAUGAAUCAAGUAAAACCAACUUAACUAUAGAAAUGUAGCAAAGUAAGGGUAAAAGUAGCACAACAACCCAAGAGGCUAAGGUUGGGGGGGAGGGGGGGUGGAGAGGUGGGUGCAGUCCGCAUAUACCAUAUGCAUAAGUGCCAUAUGAUUCACCUGCUCAGGACCGCCUCCCCAGAAGGCAAGCACAAGGACCCAUUUUAAGAGGAUGUUUUCCCCCCCAAACAUCUGAGAAUGUUUCAACUUAAAGCUUAAGGUUAAAAAGGAAAAAAAGAAAAAGAGAACCC